rnacentral:rRNA from 1 species
GUCGAGCGGACAGAUGGGAGCUUGCUCCCUGAUGUUAGCGGCGGACGGGUGAGUAACACGUGGGUAACCUGCCUGUAAGACUGGGAUAACUCCGGGAAACCGGGGCUAAUACCGGAUGCUUGAUUGAACCGCAUGGUUCAAUUAUAAAAGGUGGCUUUUAGCUACCACUUACAGAUGGACCCGCGGCGCAUUAGCUAGUUGGUGAGGUAACGGCUCACCAAGGCAACAAUGCGUAGCCAACCUGAGAGGGUGAUCGGCCACACUGGGACUGAGACACGGCCCGAACUCCUACGGGAGGCAGCAGUAGGGAAUCUUCCGCAAUGGACCAAAGUCUGACGGAGCAACGCCGCGUGAGUGAUGAAGGUUUUCGGAUCGUAAAACUCUGUUGUUAGGGAAAAACAAGUACCGUUCGAAUAGGGGGGUACCUAGACGGUACCUAACCAGAAAGCCACGGCUAACUACGUGCCAGCGGCCGCGGUAAUACGUAGGUGGCAAGCGUUGUCCGGAAUUAUUGGGCGUAAAGCGGCCGCAGGCGGUUUCUUAAGUCUGAUGUGAAAGCCCCCGGCUCAACCGGGGAGGGUCAUUGGAAACUGGGGAACUUGAGUGCAGAAAAGGAGAGUGGAAUUCCACGUGUAGCGGUGAAAUGCGUAGAGUGGUGGAGGAACACCAGUGGCAAAGGCGACUCUCUGUCCUGUAACUGACGCUGAAGGCGUGAAAAGCGUGGGGAGCGAACAGGAUUAGAUACCCUGGUAGUCCACGCCGUAAACGAUGAGCUGCUAAGUGUUAGAGGGUUUUCCGCCCCUGCUAGGUGCUGCAGCAA